rnacentral:rRNA from 1 species
UACAGAGGGGGCAAGCGUUGUUCGGAAUUACUGGGCGUAAAGGGCGCGUAGGCGGCCUUCUAAGUCGAACGUGAAAUCCCCAGGCUCAACCUGGGAACUGCGUCCGAUACUGGAUGGCUUGAAUUCGGGAGAGGGAUGCAGAAUUCCAGGUGUAGCGGUGAAAUGCGUAGAUAUCUGGAGGAAUACCGGUGGCGAAGGCGGCAUCCUGGACCGACAUUGACGCUGAGGAGCGAAAGCUAGGGGAGCAAACGGG